rnacentral:rRNA from 1 species
GUUUGAUGGGAGGCAGUCUGAUCCAGCUAUGCCGCGUGCAGGAUGACGGCCCUAUGGGUUGUAAACUGCUUUUAUACAGGAAGAAAAACUCCGACGUGUCGGAACUUGACGGUACUGUAAGAAUAAGGAUCGGCUAACUCCGUGCCAGCAGCCGCGGUAAUACGGAGGAUCCAAGCGUUAUCCGGAAUCAUUGGGUUUAAAGGGUCCGUAGGCGGUUUUUUAAGUCAGAGGUGAAAUCCUGCAGCUCAACUGUAGAAUUGCCUUUGAUACUGAAAGACUUGAGUUAUUGUGAAGUGGUUAGAAUGUGUGGUGUAGCGGUGAAAUGCAUAGAUAUCACACAGAAUACCAAUUGCGAAGGCAGAUCACUAACAAUAUACUGACGCUCAGGGACGAAAGCGUGGGUAGCGAACAGGAUUAGAUACCCUGGUAGUCCACGCCGUAAACGAUGGAUACUAGCUGUAUGUCUACUUCAGGUAGAUGUGUGGCUAAACGAAAGUGAUAAGUAUCCCACCUGGGGAGUACGAUCGCAAGAUUGAAACUCAAAGGAAUUGACGG